rnacentral:ncRNA from 1 species
UUACAUCCAUUGAGGGAAAGAGUAAUUAGUGAACGACUGGAAAGAGAAAAGAUGUCUUGGCUGAAAACAUCUUCACAGAUCGUACUGAUGAAUGACAUUCCUUAGGAUUUGUAUCGAAUGUAGUAGGUAUGAACGUUUUGCAGGCGUUAACUGUGAAAAGCGAAUGCAUAAAAGCAUUAACUAGGGUGGCAACGCGGGUAAACUCUCGUCCCUUCU